rnacentral:rRNA from 1 species
AGUUUGAUCCUGGCUCAGAACGAACGCUGGCGGCAUGCCUAACACAUGCAAGUCGAACGAGACCUUCGGGUCUAGUGGCGCACGGGUGCGUAACGCGUGGGAACCUGCCUUUAGGUUCGGAAUAACUCAGAGAAAUUUGAGCUAAUACCGGAUAAUGUCUUCGGACCAAAGAUUUAUCGCCUUUAGAUGGGCCCGCGUUGGAUUAGCUAGUUGGUGGGGUAAAGGCCUACCAAGGCGACGAUCCAUAGCUGGUCUGAGAGGAUGAUCAGCCACAUUGGGACUGAGACACGGCCCAAACUCCUACGGGAGGCAGCAGUGGGGGAAUAUUGGACAAUGGGCGCAAGCCUGAUCCAGCCAUGCCGCGUGAGUGACGAAGGCCCUAGGGUUGUAAAGCUCUUUCACCGGUGAAGAUAAUGACGGUAACCGGAGAAGAAGCCCCGGCUAACUUCGUG